AUUGAACGCUGGCGGCAUGCUUUACACAUGCAAGUCGAACGGCAGCGGGGUGGAGCUUGCUUCUCUGCCGGCGAGUGGCGCACGGGUGAGUAAUACAUCGGAACGUGUCGAGAAGAGGGGGAUAACCACCCGAAAGGGUGGCUAAUACCGCAUAAAUUCUGAGGAAGAAAGCUGGGGACCUAGGAAUAGGCCUAGCGCUUUUUGAGCGGCCGAUGUCGGAUUAGCUAGUUGGUGAGGUAAAGGCUCACCAAGGCGAAGAUCUGUAGCGGGUCUGAGAGGAAGAACCGCCACACUGGGACUGAGACACGGCCCAGACUCCUACGGGAGGCAGCAGUGGGGAAUUUUGGACAAUGGGGGCAACGCUGAUCCAGGCAUGCCGCGUGUAUGAAGAAGGCCUUAGGGUUUGAAAGGACUUUUGUUAGGGAAGAAAAGUCAGCAGUGAAUAAUGGCUGAUACUGACGGUACCUAAAGAAUAAGCACCGGCUAACUACGUG
rnacentral:rRNA from 1 species